rnacentral:rRNA from 1 species
CCUACGGGUGGCAGCAGUGGGGAAUAUUGGACAAUGGGGGCAACCCUGAUCCAGCCAUGCCGCGUGUGUGAAGAAGGCCCUCGGGUUGUAAAGCACUUUCAGUGAGGAAGAACGCCUGGUGGUUAAUACCCAUCAGGAAAGACAUCACUCACAGAAGAAGCACCGGCUAACUCCGUGCCAGCAGCCGCGGUAAUACGGAGGGUGCGAGCGUUAAUCGGAAUUACUGGGCGUAAAGCGCGCGUAGGUGGCUUGAUAAGCCGGUUGUGAAAGCCCCGGGCUCAACCUGGGAACGGCAUCCGGAACUGUCAAGCUAGAGUGCAGGAGAGGAAGGUAGAAUUCCCGGUGUAGCGGUGAAAUGCGUAGAGAUCGGGAGGAAUACCAGUGGCGAAGGCGGCCUUCUGGACUGACACUGACACUGAGGUGCGAAAGCGUGGGAAGCAAACAGGAUUAGAUACCCGAGUAGUC